rnacentral:rRNA from 1 species
CCGCGUGGGUGAAGAAAGGUCUUACGGACUUUGGUAAAAGCCCUUUUAGGCCAGGGACGAGUGAUGACGGUACCUGCAGAAUAAGCCCCGGCUAACUUCGUGC